rnacentral:rRNA from 1 species
GCAGGCUGAAACUACGCCUGCAUGAAGCUGGAAUUGCUAGUAAUCAUAGGUCAGCAUACUAUGGUGAAUACGUUCCCGGGCCUUGUACACACCGCCCGUCACACCAUGAGAGUUGAGAAUACCCGAAGUCCAUGUCAAAGUGGCCGAAGGUAGGCUUGAUGAUUGGGGUGAAGUCGUAACAAGGUAUC